UACGAAGGGGGGCUAGCGUUGCUCGGAAUCACUGGGCGUAAAGGGCGCGUAGGCGGCCAUUCAAGUCGGAGGUGAAAAGCCCAGGGCUCAACCCCUGGAAUUGCCUUCGAUACUGUCUGGCUAGAGACCGGAAGAGGUAAGUGGAACUGCGAGUGUAGAGGUGAAAUUCGUAGAUAUUCGCAAGAACACCAGUGGCGAAGGCGGCUUACUGGUCCGGUUCUGACGCUGAGGCGCGAAAAGCGUGGGGAGCAAACAGG
rnacentral:rRNA from 1 species